UGGGGAAUCUUGCACAAUGGGCGAAAGCCUGAUGCAGCGACGCCGCGUGCGGGAUGAAGGCCUUCGGGUUGUAAACCGCUUUCAGCAGGGACGAGGCCGCAAGGUGACGGUACCUGCAGAAGAAGCCCCGGCUAACUACGUGCCAGCAGCCGCGGUAAUACGUAGGUCCCGAGCGUUGUCCGGAUUUAUUGGGCGUAAAGCGAGCGCAGGCGGUUAGAAAAGUCUGAAGUGAAAGGCAGUGGCUCAACCAUUGUAGGCUUUGGAAACUGUUUAACUUGAGUGCAGAAGGGGAGAGUGGAAUUCCAUGUGUAGCGGUGAAAUGCGUAGAUAUAUGGAGGAACUCCGGUGGCGAAAGCGGCUCUCUGGUCUGUAACUGACGCUGAGGCUCGAAAGCGUGGGGAGCGAACAGG
rnacentral:rRNA from 1 species